UAGAUGUGGAAUACAGAUAGUUUGUUAAGA
rnacentral:piRNA from 1 species